GUAGGGAAUCUUCCACAAUGGACGAAAGUCUGAUGGAGCAACGCCGCGUGAGUGAAGAAGGUUUUCGGAUCGUAAAGCUCUGUUGUUGGUGAAGAAGGAUAGAGGUAGUAACUGGCCUUUAUUUGACGGUAAUCAACCAGAAAGUCACGGCUAACUACGUGCCAGCAGCCGCGGUAAUACGUAGGUGGCAAGCGUUGUCCGGAUUUAUUGGGCGUAAAGCGAGCGCAGGCGGAAGAAUAAGUCUGAUGUGAAAGCCCUCGGCUUAACCGAGGAACUGCAUCGGAAACUGUUUUUCUUGAGUGCAGAAGAGGAGAGUGGAACUCCAUGUGUAGCGGUGGAAUGCGUAGAUAUAUGGAAGAACACCAGUGGCGAAGGCGGCUCUCUGGUCUGCAACUGACGCUGAGGCUCGAAAGCAUGGGUAGCGAACAGG
rnacentral:rRNA from 1 species